rnacentral:rRNA from 1 species
GACGGGGGCCCGCACAAGCAGUGGAUUAUGUGGUUUAAUUCGAAGCAACGCGAAGAACCUUACCAGGGCUUGACAUCCUCUGACCGCUCUAGAGAUAGAGUUUCCCUUCGGGGCAGAGAGACAGGUGGUGCAUGGUUGUCGUCAGCUCGUGUCGUGAGAUGUUUGGUUAAGUCCAAUAACGAGCGCAACCCCUAUGGUCAGUUGCCAUCAUUUAGUUGGGCACUCUGGCAAGACUGCCGCGGACAACGCGGAGGAAGGAGGGGACGACGUCAAAUCAUCAUGCCCCUUAUGUCCUGGGCUACACACGUAAUACAAUGGCAACGACAGAGGGCAGCGAACCCGCGAGGGCAAGCAAAUCCCCAAACGUUGUCUCAGUUCGGACUGCAGGCUGCAACCCGCCUGCACGAAGUCGGAAUUGCUAGUAAUGGCAGGUCAGCAUACUGCCGUGAAUACGUUCCCGGGCCUUGUACACACCGCCCGUCACACCAUGAGAGUCUGCAAUACCCGAAGUCAGUAGCCUAACCGGAAGGAGGGCGCUGCCGAAUUUGGGGCCGAGAAA